AUUGAACGCUGGCGGCAUGCCUUACACAUGCAAGUCGAACGGUAACGCGGGGCAACCUGGCGACGAGUGGCGAACGGGUGAGUAAUAUAUCGGAACGUGCCCAGUAGUGGGGGAUAGCCCGGCGAAAGCCGGAUUAAUACCGCAUACGACCUACGGGUGAAAGCGGGGGAUCGCAAGACCCCGCGCUAUUGGAGCGGCCGAUAUCAGAUUAGGUAGUUGGUGGGGUAAAAGCCUACCAAGCCUGCGAUCUGUAGCUGGUCUGAGAGGACGACCAGCCACACUGGGACUGAGACACGGCCCAGACUCCUACGGGAGGCAGCAGUGGGGAAUUUUGGACAAUGGGCGCAAGCCUGAUCCAGCCAUGCCGCGUGCGGGAAGAAGGCCUUCGGGUUGUAAACCGCUUUUGUCAGGGAAGAAAAGCUCUGGGCUAAUACCCCGGAGUCAUGACGGUACCUGAAGAAUAAGCACCGGCUAACUACGGGCCAGCAGCCGCGGUAAUACGUAGGGUGCAAGCGUUAAUCGGAAUUACUGGGCGUAAAGCGUGCGCAGGCGGUGAUGCAAGACAGAUGUGAAAUCCCCGGGCUCAACCUGGGAACUGCAUUUGUGACUGCAUCGCUGGAGUGCGGCAGAGGGGGAUGGAAUUCCGCGUGUAGCAGUGAAAUGCGUAAAUAUGCGGAGGAACACCGAUGGCGAAGGCAAUCCCCUGGGCCUGCACUGACGCUCAUGCACGAAAGCGUGGGGAGCAAACAGGAU
rnacentral:rRNA from 1 species